rnacentral:rRNA from 1 species
AUGGAUCGUCAGCGGAUCGCAAAACGGAGACGCGACGACGAUGACCGCCUAAGCAAGCUCGGCGACGGCGUGCUGGGCCACAUCCUCUCUUUCCUCGACACCAAGGAGGCCGCGCGCGCCGCUGCCCUCUCGUCGCGGUGGCGCGACAUCUUCGCCAGCGUCCACACCGUCUCCCUGGAGGAGCCGGAAAAGCCCAUCCCCGACUACGACUCGGACGGUGGAUACUACGACCCAACCCGCCGCCGCACUUCACCCGCGUCGUCACCAUGGCCAUCACCGCCCGCAGCAGCCCUCCGUUCCCCAACGCCGCAUCGGUGCCACUGCGCACGCUCCGGGUCGCCAUGGAAAGAUGCCGCCCCAGAGCUCCAGGUCCACCUCCGCCUCCGCCGCGUCCCCGUCUGCCGCCGACCUGACCCCAGCCACGACGCCGCCAGCUCAGACGAGGACCACGCUGCUGGCUCAGACGAGGACGUCCCCCUAUGCAGCCGCCCAGAUGCCGGCAGCUCAGACGAGGACCACGCUGCUGGCUCAGACGAGGACGUCCCCCUUGCCCACGAAGAUGACGAUGCCGCUUCCAGCUCCGACGAGAGCGUUCCUCGGCCGUGGGAGCUGCCUCCUGCAGUGUACACCGUCCCCAGCCAGCUCUUCUCCUGUUCCGCGUUACGAUCACUCCGCCUCGGGUCGUGCAGACUAUGCCCGCCGGCGACCGUCAGCCUGCCGUCACUUGAGGUGCUCCGCCUCACCCACGUCGGUGACGAGGAGGAACACUUGCAGAGGCUCAUCUCUGCCUGCCCACACCUUGCGGACCUGACGCUCGAGGCCUGUGGCACCAACACCAUGACCGCCCUCUCCCUCCUCGACAACACGCGCCUCCGCAGGCUUGCCCUCCGGUGCUGCCACAAGCUGGCUGCCGUGACCGUCCACGCGUCGGAGCUCCGCUGCUUCGAGUACCGCGGCACCAUCCCGGACAACUCAUUCCUCACCGUGCCCGGCCGUGACGCUGGCGGCGGCUUCCCGUCCGUCACUUCGUGCAAAAUCGAGGUCUGCACCGUCUGCGUGGCGCAGAACACCGCCAUGUCCCAAGAGCAGCUCGCCAAGCUCGGUUCAUUCCUAGAGUUGUUUGUGUCCACGAAACAGCUGCACCUGUGCGCCGCUCACAUGAGCUCCUGCUUCGUCAAUCUCCCGGCAUUCCCAAGCCUCACGCACCUUCAGCUGGACGGAUGCGUACGGCACGACAGCAAUGAUCCCGUCGCCGUUGCUACCACGACGAUCACGAUCCUCCAACGGGUCCCAAACCUGGAGGUGCUGACCAUGUUCUUUGAAGCAGGGCCUCACGAAGCCGAGUUGGAGGAAUACCCCCUGCACAAGGAGGGGGAGCUCCUCGACGCGCACCACGCCACCACCUCCACUACAACCAGUACGACACCCUCGACCUGGCGACCGUGCCGGUCCCCCGGUGCCUAG